GCACAACGCGAAGAACCUUACCUAGGCUUGACAUGCAUCCCUAAGCACGUGAAAGCGUGUGACCCUUCGGGGAAUUUGCACAGGUGCUGCAUGGCCGUCGUCAGCUCGCGUCGUGAGAUGUCGGGUUAAGUCCCGCAACGAGCGCAACCCUUGUCCUUAGUUGCCAGCACGUAAAGGUGGGAACUCUAAGGAGACCGCCGGCGACAAGCCGGAGGAAGGUGGGGAUGACGUCAAGUCAUCAUGGCCCUUACGGCCAGGGCUACACACGUACUACAAUGGUGGGGACAGAGGGCUGCAAGCCGGCGACGGUGAGCCAAUCCCAGAAACCCCAUCCCAGUCCGGAUUGGAGUCUGCAACUCGACUGCGUGAAGUCGGAAUCGCUAGUAAUCGCGGAUCAGAAUGUCGCGGUGAAUACGUUCCCGGGUCUUGUACACACCG
rnacentral:rRNA from 1 species